CCUGCCCACUGGGUGAAACUGCAAGUCGAGAGCGUGGGAAACCAGCAAGUUGAGAGAGGAUCCAGAAGUAACCCCUUCUAAAACGGGAAAGAUGCCUUCCGAAAGCACUUGGCCCUAAAGAGAAAACACUAGGAGGAUGGGAACCAGGGACAGAGAAGCUACUUGCUCUGCAGCUGUUUGGGCCAAUUUUUGCAUUUCAGAUGAUCCAAUGGCCCCAUCUAGACUGGAGACACCAACUCAUGACUCAGCUGGCCUUGUGGCCCACACCCAGAAGUGGACUCAGUGCAUGAGGACUAUUUUCCACACUCCUAUGAUAGCAUCCCCAACCAAUCAGCAGGACCAUUUCCUAGCCCCUUGCCCACCAAACUAUCUUUUAAAAAACCUGGCUGGGCGCAGUGGCUCACACCUGCAAUCCCAGCACUUUGGGAGUCUGAGG
rnacentral:lncRNA from 10 species